rnacentral:lncRNA from 10 species
GCGGCCACCAAGACUUCACCACAGUGAGUACUUGGUUUUCAGCUCACUCUGUCUGGUCCUCUGGAGAAGUGGUGCGCCGGUGGUCUCCUGCUUGGUUUGGGGUUUCCUUGUGCUUUGGGACAGGAGAGAGAGCAGUGCCUCACCUGAAGGCCACGAGGGUAGUUGGUCAGAGUUGUGCGAGCUGGUUGCAGGGAAGGCUACCGGCCAGGAUAGAGCACUGCUGUCAGAUCAAAUAUGGAGGCUUGGAAGGAAGACAGAAGCCUUAACCUCCAGGAUGCUCAAAGAAGAAAAAUCUGAGUGAUUGAAUAGAAGUGCAUUUGAGGACUCUGUGGAGAGGCUCUUGUCAUGAUUCAAGACUGUUGGCUUAAUGUUCAGAGGCUCUCCUGGGCUCUCCAACCAGUCUCUUCUUCUGCCUCCGACCCAGGAUAGUUGGGAAAGAAUUUCCAGUAGUCACAUCGGUCACAUGGAAUGAUGGUGAUCGAUAUAGACGUGAUCUCAGAGUUCACUCCCUCAUCAUACAGUGGAGGAAACGAGGCCCAGGGAGGGGCGGAACAUUUUUCCAAGUCAUACAGCAAGAACUCAGAGGCCUCUUGGUUCCUGCUCUUGCCUUGAGGUGGUUCUGCGGGGCGCUCCAGAGCCCCCAAGAAAUUCUUCUGAAAUUCAGUUCUCCACAGGACACCUGGGCUCCUCCUCUGUCCUCCCAGCCCCUCACAGAGGAGUAGUUUCCCUUCUGGCCUGCCUAAGUCUGUCUUGUCUUCUGGACUUCAGUGGCCACCAUGGACCUCCCAAGCUUUCUCUUGGGCUCUUCCAGUGCCGACCUCAGCUUGGCUGCCUCACACUCUGUCUGGUGGGCACUUACAGGAGCCAUGUCCACAGACCACCUCGCCUGGGCUGUGGAGGCCCCGUUCUGAGACCACGUGCAGUCCAAAAAAGGAAGCUAAAAGGGGUCAGAGGAAAACAUCCCCGUGUAGGGUGAGGGUGAAUCUCAGUCUCCCUGUCAACUCUCUUUAUCCUGACAUCCAGAAUUCCAGACCUUUGUGGGCACUGAUCCCUGAGACUGGGCUCUUUAAGCUCUUUCACUGAUCCCUGGGGUCCGAAACUUUCAGCUUGCACUUUGGUUUGGUAAACCACUGACUGUCCUACCAAACGCCCCCGCACCCCACAAACUCAACCUGUGCUCUUCAUGUGCUAUCUCCUGUUCGAUCCCCACACUGACCUUCUGGGUUAGGGACUUGCAUGUCCCCAUUUUAUAGAUGAGGAGCCUGAGGCCCAGAGAGGUAAGUCACCUGCCCAGUAUCACACAGCCUGAGAUUGGCAGAGCCAGAUCUCAUGGAAUGAGAGCCCUGUCUCACCUCCCUAGAGACAGAGCUUAAUUGAUAACUUUGAGUUGAUACUGAAAGGUCACAGGAAUUGCAGCAGAUAAGGUGUUCUGAGGAACUGGCUCUCUAGCACCUGUGGUAAUUAAUUCAGUAUCCCUUUUUGUGUCCCAGAGAAGCACAGUGGCUAAAGCGCACAGCACAAGCUUGGAGAUCAGAUGGACAUGGCUUCAAAUCUCGUCUCUGCUGUUUACAAAAAGUAUGACCCCAGGAGAGGGAUUUAUACCCUCUGAGCUGUAGUUUCCUCAUCCACAAUGUGGGAGCAGGAUUUUAGAGGAUACCGAGAGAUUAAAUGAGAUCUUUCUUAUAGAGUCCUUAGCAAGGGGCUUGGCACCAUGGAUGGUAAUAUCAUCAUGAUGAUGCCAGGUAUUUUCAUUGCUAUUCCUUAUUAUUCAUCAGUAUUUUUAUUCAUUGCUAUUGCUGGUUGUAUUCAUCAUUAAUAAAUAAUAGCAUUGUUUAUUAAUGUUA